rnacentral:rRNA from 1 species
UACGUAGGGGGCGAGCGUUGUCCGAAUUUACUGGGCGUAAAGCGCGUGUAGGCGGCUCUUUAAGUCAGAUGUGAAAUCUUGCGGCUCAACCGCAAAACUGCAUUUGAAACUGGAGAGCUUGAGUUUGGGAGAGGAAAGUGGAAUUCCUGGUGUAGCGGUGAUAUGCGUAGAUAUCAGGAGGAACACCCGUGGCGAAGGCGGCUUUCUGGCCCAAUACUGACGCUGAGACGCGAAAGCUAGGGGAGCGAACGGGAUUAGAUACCCGUCGUA